rnacentral:rRNA from 1 species
AGAGUUUGAUCCUGGCUCAGGAUGAACGCUGGCGGUAUGCCUAACACAUGCAAGUUGAACGCAAAUCUUUAUAGAUUUGAGUAGCGAACGGGUGAGUAACACGUGAGAAUCUACCUCUAGGAGGGGCAUAAAAAACCCCAUAUGCCGUAAGGUGAAAUGGAUUUAAUAAUUCGCCUGGAGAUGAGCUCGCGGCUGAUUAGCUAGUUGGUGAGGUAAUGGCUCACCAAGGCCACUAUCAGUAGCUGGUCUGAGAGGACGAACAGCCACACUGGGACUGAGAUACGGCCCAGACUCCUCCGGGAGGCAGCAGUGGGGAAUUUUCCGCAAUGGGCGAAAGCCUGACGGAGCAAUACCGCGUGAGGGAUGAAGGCUCGUGGGUCGUAAACCUCUUUUCCCAAGGAAGAAGUUCUGACGGUACUUGGGGAAUAAGCAUCGGCUAAUUCCGUGCCAGCAGCCGCGGUAAUACGGGAGAUGCGAGCGUUAUCCGGAAUCACUGGGCGUAAAGCGUCUGUAGGUGGUUUGUUAAGUCUGUUGUUAAAAACUGAAGCUCAACUUCAGAGGUGCGGCAGAAACUGGCAAACUUGAGUAUGGUAGGGGUAGGAGGAAUUUCUAGUGUAGCGGUGAAAUGCGUAGAUAUUAGGAAGAACACCAUUAGCGAAGGCGUCCUACUGGGCCAUAACUGACACUGAGAGACGAAAGCUAGGGGAGCAAACGGGAUUAGAUACCCCGGUAGUCCUAGCCGUAAACGAUGGAUACUAGAUGUCGCGGGUUUACCUGCGGUGUCGUAGCUAACGCGUUAAGUAUCCCGCCUGGGAAGUACGCACGCAAGUGUGAAACUCAAAGGAAUUGACGGGGGCCCGCACAAGCGGUGGAGUAUGUGGUUUAA